AAGGAGCACCACGAGAAACACUCCAAUUGGUGGAGUGAUAGCCGUGAGGGGUUCUCGUCUGUAGUGGACGGGGACCGGGUGCACAACAGCAGAUGAAUCGCCAGACACACUAUUGGGCCUGAGGCAACAGUCGGGUUUGUCCGAGUGCUGUCCCUCCAUCUUGGUGGUGGGGUGUGGUGUUUGAGCAUUGGAUAGUGGUUGCGAGCAU
rnacentral:misc_RNA from 1 species